UACGGGGGGGGCAAGCGUUGUUCGGAAUUACUGGGCGUAAAGGGUUCGUAGGUGGCCAACUAAGUCAGACGUGAAAUCCCUCAGCUCAACUGGGGAACUGCGUCUGAUACUGGUUGGCUUGAGUGCAGGAGAGGAACGCGGAAUUCCAGGUGUAGCGGUGAAAUGCGUAGAUAUCUGGAGGAACACCGGCGGCGAAGGCGACGUGCUGGGUUGCACCUGACGCUGAGAUGCGAAAGUGUGGGGAGCAAACGGG
rnacentral:rRNA from 1 species